AGCGAACGCUGGCGGCAGGCCUAACACAUGCAAGUCGAACGAACUCUUCGGAGUUAGUGGCGGACGGGUGAGUAACACGUGGGAACGUGCCUUUAGGUUCGGAAUAACUCAGGGAAACUUGUGCUAAUACCGAAUGUGCCCUUCGGGGGAAAGAUUUAUCGCCUUUAGAGCGGCCCGCGUCUGAUUAGCUAGUUGGUGAGGUAAAGGCUCACCAAGGCGACGAUCAGUAGCUGGUCUGAGAGGAUGAUCAGCCACAUUGGGACUGAGACACGGCCCAAACUCCUACGGGAGGCAGCAGUGGGGAAUCUUGCGCAAUGGGCGAAAGCCUGACGCAGCCAUGCCGCGUGAAUGAUGAAGGUCUUAGGAUUGUAAAAUUCUUUCACCGGGGACGAUAAUGACAGUACCCGGAGAGGAAGCCCCGGCUAACUUCGUGCCAGCCGCCGCAGUAA
rnacentral:rRNA from 1 species